CUCGUAGGCGGUUCGUCGCGUCCGGUGUGAAAGUCCAUCGCUUAACGGUGGAUCCGCGCCGGGUACGGGCGGGCUUGAGUGCGGUAGGGGAGACUGGAAUUCCCGGUGUAACGGUGGAAUGUGUAGAUAUCGGGAAGAACACCAAUGGCGAAGGCAGGUUUCUGGGCCGUCACUGACGCUGAGGAGCGAAAGCGUGGGGAGCGAACA
rnacentral:rRNA from 1 species